AGACAUCUGGGCAAGUCAACAGGAAGGUGGAUAUCCAAAUCUCUCUCUUCGCAAUGAGUUUCCAGUUAGAUGGAGGAGAGAGUAAUAAAACACAGAGCUGAGAUUCCUGACUUCACAGAUCCCUGAGGAGAUGUUUACUAAAGGGAAUCUUCUGGUCACUGUUACCUUCCUCCGUACUUACCUGCCUCAUGGAUAACACUGAAGAAUGCAGUUUACUUACAUCUUUUUCUGUUUGACAGAAGACAGUUAUUAGUUACCCUUGGGACAUCAAAAUGACCAAGGCAGUGUCUGCUAAGUAUUUGCUGAGACUCUGCUAUGAUUCUUUCAAGUCUAAAGACAGUUAUCUGAAUGAUAUCCCCGUGACAGUGGACUCCUGCACAUUCACAGUCCUGGAAGGAGCCUGUCCACAUUGGCAUUCUGGAAGUCCAUAAAAGACAAACGCAUAUGCAGUCCCCGAGAAAGCAUUGUUGUAAACAAAUCUGCACUAGAUGGAAACUCUGUUAUGUGGUGCCGGCAUGCAUGGAAGAGAACCCGAAAGGAAGAAGCUAUACGACUGGGGACACAUGUCUUAGAAGCACACUCAUUAGAUAAAGUGUCGCAUACUCUUUGAUAAGAAACUCCAGGCUGUCACCCAUCUGUUCUCUCAUCAAAGUAGUUUUGGGCCAGCAACUAUUUCAGACAUUUCUACAGUUUCAGAUGUCUCACUCUGCCUAUGACUGUAUGUUGUACUUGAGGACUGGACGCACAGGGUAAAGUGCAAAUAGCAAGCAUUCAGGUCCAACUCUCCUCCUUCUGGUUAACAAUAUGAAAGAAAGAGGUAGUAUCGGAAUUAUUUUAGUUCAAUGUAGCCAUUAUAAAAUGUGUAUAUAUUUUAAAACAUCAUGUGGUACAUGAUAAAUAUAUACAACUUUUAUUUUUCAAUAAAAAAUUAUAAAAAAAGUCAUCAAACCUGAUUUCUCAUACUACUUUUUUGGUAACACUCAUCACACCAAAGACUUAUUAUUUUAAAAUGUUAUUUUUCAUAAUUAAUUUCUUAUUAAUUUUAUAGGCUAGAUUUUAAUUGUUAUGUCUAAAUAGUAGUGUCUGGUACGUGGUAGAUAAUCAAUGUGACUUGAAUAAAUGAAUAAGUCUGUUAACGA
rnacentral:lncRNA from 1 species